rnacentral:rRNA from 1 species
GAUUCCGGAGAGGCAGCCUGAGAGACGGCUACCACGUCCAAGGACGGCAGCAGGCACGCAAAUUACCCAAUCCCAGCAACUGGGGGAGGUAGUGACGAAAUCUAACGAUGCGGGCGCCCUAUUUGGGGCCCCGCAAUCGGAAUGAGCACUUUCUAAACAACCUGUUGAGAACCUACUGAAGGGCAAGUCUGGUGCCAGCAGCCGCGGUAAUUCCAGCUUCAGCAGCAUCUAUUAAAGUUGCUGCGGUUAAAAGGCUCGCAGUUGAAUGUCAGUAUCGAGCGCAGGUCAGGUGGACGCUGGGGCGUGGGAACACAAGGCGCGGUACGGGCCCUUGCCUCGCGCUUGUGGUACCGGCCGUGUCUCUCACAUACCCCCGUCCGUUACAAGCCUCCUCGCUCGCGUACAUAUCGGAAUUGGUCAAACGGAGUGUGCGCAGUCCCUCGCGUUUCUCUUCUUCAGGCCGCGUCCGCGCGUGUCGGUUGGCGGGGGCGUGCGGGGGCUCGCACGUUAAGCUCCUUCGGUUUCAUGGUCACCUUGAGUAAAUCAGAGUGCUCAAAGCAGUCGUAGGGGCCUUGCGCCCUGUGAACAGUCUUGACGGACUGACUUGGUUUUGCAUGGCAUGUCGGAAGACGACGUCGUGUGCUGGCUCAGAGAUUAUCAGUGGUGCAAGCCAGCCUCGACGUACUGAUUAACAGGGACGGUCGAGGGCAUUGGUAUUGCGAGGCGAGAGGUGAAAUUCUAUGACCCCCGCAAGACCUCCUGAAGCGAAAGCGUCUGCCAAGGACGUUUUCAUUAAUCAUGAACGAAAGUUAGAGGAUCGAAGGCGAUCAGAUACCGCCCUAGUUCUAACCCUAAACGAUGCCAACCAUCAAUCCGCGCGUAGCUCCCAUCUUAACGGGCUCGGCGGGCAGCUCCCCACUCACGGGAAACCAGAGUCUCUGGGUUCCGGGGGGAGUCUGGUUGCAAAGCUGAAACUUAAAGGAAUUGACGGAAAGGCACCACCAGGCGUGGAGCCUGCGGCUUAAUUUGACUCAACACGGGCCAUCUCACCAGGCCAGCACUCUUGUACGAUUGACAGAUUGAGAGCUCUUUCUCGAUUCAGUGGAUGGUGGUGCAUGGCCGUUCUUAGUUGGUGGAGUGAUCUGUCUGGUUAAUUCCGAUAACGAACGAGACUCUCCCCUGCUAACUAGUCGGCUGGAUCUUUAUCGGUGAGUUGUGUGCCGAGAAAACCUGGGUGCGGGCGCGUGGGGUUGCUGCGGUUUUACCAAGGCUCUCUCGUGCUUCGUAUCUCGGGCCUCGGGCCACACACUCCAAGUCCGCCGCUUAUUGUAUAACUCUUCUUAGAGGGAUUCACGGUUCUGAAGCCGUCAGAGACUGAGAGCAAUAACAGGUCUGUGAUGCCCUUAGAUGCUCUGGGCCGCACGCGCGCUACAAUGCCGGGCACAGCAGGUGUUUCUCCUGCUCCGACAGGAGCAGGUAACCCUCUGAAAGCCACUGUUUUUGUCGUGUCUGACACGAAAGGCGUGCUUGGGCCUGGGGCUUGCAAUUCUUUCCCACCAACGAGGAAUGCCUAGUAGCGGCGGGUCACUGAGCCCGCUGUGACUCAGUCCCUGCCCUUUGUACACACCGCCCGUCGCUACUACCGAUUGGGUGUACCAGUGAGAGCCUUGGACUGGCGUCCGUUGCCUUCGGGCAAGCGGGUCCGACGGAAAGAGGUCCGAACUGGUGCACUUAGAGGAAGUAAAAGUCGUAACAAG